rnacentral:rRNA from 1 species
GACGAACGCUGGCGGCGUGCCUAAUACAUGCAAGUUGAGCGCUGAAGGCUGGUACUUGUACCAACUGGAUGAGCAGCGAACGGGUGAGUAACGCGUGGGGAAUCUGCCUUUGAGCGGGGGACAACAUUUGGAAACGAGUGCUAAUACCGCAUAAAAACUUUAAACACAAGUUUGAAGUUUGAAAGAUGCAAUUGCAUCACUCAAAGAUGAUCCCGCGUUGUAUUAGCUAGUUGGUGAGGUAAAGGCUCACCAAGGCGAGGAUACAUAGCCGACCUGAGAGGGUGGUCGGCCACAUUGGGACUGAGACACGGCACAAACUCCUACGGGAGGCAGCAGUAGGGAAUCUUCGGCCAUGGACGAAAGUCAGACCGAGCAACGCCGCGUGAGUGAAGAAGGUUGUCGGAUCGUAGAACUCUGUUGGUAGAGAAGAACGUUGGUGAGAGUGGAAAGCUCAUCAAGUGACGGUAACUACCCAGAAAGGGACGGCUAACUACGUG